UAAAAGGGUCGGUUGGCUAAUUUUGCCAUGCUUACCCUUUGAUUUGGUGAGUGCUGUAUGGAAAUCAAGACAUAUGGCCGACAUAAUUUGUGCAAACUAGAAGGGUUGGCUCGCUUGGCCGACCCUCAA